ACCGGCGAACGGGUGCGUAACGCGUAUAGAAUCUGCCUUGUACAGGAGGAUAGCCUUUAGAAAUGAAGAUUAAUACUCCAUAAUACUGGGAAGUGGCAUCGCUAUCUAGUUAAACAUUUAUGGGUACAAGAUGACUAUGCGUCCUAUUAGCUAGAUGGUAAGGUAACGGCUUACCAUGGCAACGAUAGGUAGGGGGUCUGAGAGGAUUAUCCCCCACACUGGUACUGAGACACGGACCAGACUCCUACGGGAGGCAGCAGUGAGGAAUAUUGGUCAAUGGAGGCAACUCUGAACCAGCCAUGCCGCGUGCAGGAAGACUGCCCUAUGGGUUGUAAACUGCUUUUAUACAGGAAGAAACUUAUCCACGUGUGGGUAACUGACGGUACUGUAAGAAUAAGCACCGGCUAACUCCGUGCCAGCAGCCGCGGUAAUACGGAGGGUGCAAGCGUUAUCCGGAAUCAUUGGGUUUAAAGGGUCCGCAGGCGGUCAAUUAAGUCAGAGGUGAAAUCCUACAGCUUAACUGUAGAACUGCCUUUGAUACUGGUUGACUUGAGUCAUAUGGAAGUAGAUAGAAUGUGUAGUGUAGCGGUGAAAUGCAUAGAUAUUACACAGAAUACCGAUUGCGAAGGCAGUCUACUACGUAUGUACUGA
rnacentral:rRNA from 1 species